AACAUCACAACUACCAUCACUUCUAAUUGUUCCUUGACGGGUUGCAUUGAUGAAAGUGAGGGGACGGAGGAGGAGGAAAAUGAGUUUGAGUCUUUUAUGAGUAAGCUCAAGGGUAAAUCCAAGAAGCACUUCGUUGCUCUGUUGGAACAACUUGGUGAAGCCAAUGACAUGAUCGAGGCUCACGAAGACACCAUCUCUAAGAUGGAAGGGCAUAGUCGUGACUAUGCCGAUGAGAUAUCAGAUCUCUCUAAUGCGCUCGAGGAAGAGUGUGGUCAUCGUUUGACUCUUGAGGAGUCACACAACGAUGAUCAUGCUAAAUUAAAGAAAGAUCUUGAUCAUGCUCUUGUUGUUUCUCGUGUGCUCAAUUCCGAGAAGGCCAAACUUGGG
rnacentral:rRNA from 1 species